ACAUAUUAAUAAAGCAUUAUUAAAUGCUUAUUAAUAGUUUUUAUUUAGAAGUUUAAUUCUGAUGAACUGAUUUGUUCAUCUUAAUAAACUGUUUAWAGCUCAUGAAUAACAUUAUUAAAGCAGUAAUAAAUGCUUUAAAAAUGUCUAAUUCAAACUGAAUUAUUUUAUUAACAACUGAGGACUAGUUUUCAGAGUUUUUCAGAGUUUUUCAGGUUCUUCCAGAUGUUUGUUGCAGGGCAGCAGCUGGCAGGAGGUGGAUUUUGGGUGUUUCAGGGUAAAUUUCUGCUGACAUGUUUUUAAACAUCAAACCCGGCUGCCUCUGGUCUCCUGGGGGUCCAGGUGGUCUUGGACAGCUCUAACAGUCUAAUAAAACCCCUGACGUGGACUGAUCUGUCACGAUUGUCUUUUUUGAUCAGGCUCGGUCCAGUCCGGUCCAGAGAACCUGAAACAGGUCUAAUGUAAGAAAAGCAAAGUGAUGAAAGCAGCAGACAGUCUGAGCUGAAGGUGAUGAAGAGGAUGAAGAUGAUGAAGAUGAUGAAGAGGAUGAAGAGGAUGAAGAGCUGUGCACUUAUUGUUGACUCCACCUCCAGUGUGUUUUCUGCCUAAUGCUACUUUGCUUUGUCACUACAACAGUGGGAGGACUGGCUGCAGCUGGACUCUGGGGGUCCACGUCCUGGAAGGAGGUCUCUGAUGUGCUACACAAAGAUCGUCCCCUCUGGACCACACGGGGGGCUGAGAGGUCCUCUGAAGGCUCCAGAUCCAGCCACGGUCCGGUCCAGCGGUCCUCAGGCGUCCUGUUGUUGUCUGCAGGCAGCGACGCCGAUCACAGGGCCUGCAGCGCCCCCUACAGUACCAGAGGGCACCAUCCUGUGGUUCUAGUCCUCCUUCGGUCCGGCCCAGUCCAGUCCAGACCAGUCAGCAGCUUGUUUUUGUUGUCCACGAGCACACACAAACAUAAACACACACACAGACUGUCCUCCAGUCAGACCUCCCUCCCGACACGCGUGGAGGCCGCAGACCAAGAGGAGGAUUGUGGGUCGGAGGAGGUUUGGGGGCGGGGUUACCAGUUCAUCAUGGAGCUUCUGUUCAGGGUCAUGAAGAAGACUUGACUGCUGCCCCCGGACCGGACCGAGGCGAAGAAGACCUGCAGAGGACACACAGUCAGGUCCAGGAUUAGACAGAGUCAGGUCCAGGAUCAGGCUGAGUCAGGUCCAGGAUCAGGCUGAGUCAGGUCCAGGAUUAGAGAGAGUCAGGUCCAGGAUCAGACUGAGUCAGGUCCAGGAUCAGACUGAGUCAGGUCCAGGAUUAGAGAAUCAGGUCCAGGAUCAGGGUGAGUCAGGUCCAGGAUCAAACAGAGUCAGGUCCAGGAUCAGACUGAGUCAGGUCCAGGAUUAGAGAAUCAGGUCCAGGAUCAGGGUGAGUCAGGUCCAGGAUCAGUCUGAGUCAGGUCCAGGAUCAAACAGAGUCAGGUCCAGGAUCAGGCUGAGUCAGGUCGAGGAUUAGAGAGAGUCAGGUCCAGGAUCAGACUGUCAGGUCCAGGAUUAGAGAGAGUCAGGUCCAGGAUCAGGCUGAGUCAGGUCCAGGAUCAGACUGAGUCAGGUCCAGGAUUAGAGAGUCAGGUCCAGGAUCAGGCUGAGUCAGGUCCAGGGUUAGAGAGAGUCAGGUCCAGGAUCAGGCUGAGUCAGGUCCAGGCUCAGGCUGAGUCAGGUCCAGGAUCAGACUGAGUUAGGUCCAGGAUCUGACUGGGUCAGGUCCAGGAUCAAAUAGAGUCAGGUCCA